GAUUGGAAACUACAAACACUUCUUUUGAGCCCUCGGCCCUCAAAGCCGAAAUUUCACACACGAGAGGUGUCGCCAUACAAUCUUUUUUUGUAGGGACAUUCUCAGAAACAAAGAUGCAGCGCCAACCCCACUGACAUGGCAGAGGACAAGGACAUGCAGAAGACUCAGCCACCCAGCGCCACAGUGAUGUCUCCAGUCCUGCCUGAUCCCCAUUCGGAGGCCUGGCCAACUCCAGCUCCUCGGUACCAGUCGGUGGCCCGGCCGACACCUGUUCCUGAGCUGCAGCAGCUUCCUGAACUCUCCGUGGUGCAGCGGUCACCUGAAUCUCCUGAGCUGCAUCAGUCUCACUCCUGCCUCUGCCAGAUCGCAGCAGCCACAUCCUGCCUCUGCUUGAUCACAGCAGCCGCCUCUUGAACCUGCUGAGCCGCAAUAGUCACCCAAACUCUCUGUGCUGCAGCAGCCUCCUGAACCUGCUGAGCCACAGCAGUCACCCGAAUUCCCUGAGCUGCAGCAGUCUCCUGAAUCUUCUGUGCUGCAGCACACUCCUGAAUCUCCUGGACUUUCUGAGCUGCAGCACACUCCUGAGCCUGUUGAGCUGCAGCAACCCGCUGAGUCGGAGCUACAGCAAUCUCCUGUUUAUUGUGACCUGCUACUGUCUGUGUACAUAACACUUAAAUUCCCCAGGUAAAGUUCUCACUCACCACUGCAGAGACCCAGGGUUCAUGGGAAGCCAGUAAGAGUUUGCAUCCCCUAUACUCCUGUUGGUUAGUUAGGGUGUCUGUACACUGAGGUGCAACUUGGGAGGAGGUAGCACAAACCUCACGUUUAUUACGCCAUCUCAGUUAAAGUGACAAGAAAUGGCUGACAACACCAUGUGCCUGUGUAGCAGUGACAGUAUGAUAUAACUGCAAAAAUUGGACAUUUCAAAUUUUCUAAAAGAACAUUAUGAUAUGAUAGUCAAGACAAGUAUAACACGUCUCUGUUAAGCAAAGUACUCCAAUUAAAUUAAUGCUAUAUUAAUGUUGCUGUAAAUUUAAAGCCACCGAUGAGAAUUUCUCAGAUAAAUGGGAGAUAUUUUGAAAUUGUCUGUCUCCCUGCUAGCUAAGAUGGACUCAAGAUGGAUUAAAAAAAGAGAGGAAAACAAAACGAAUGAGACAAUAGAGUUUCAGGUUCAAUGGUAGAUUGUUUUCCUUUGUCCACUCUUAUCAGUCUCUGUGCCAAAGAGCUCUGUCUCAGCAUAUUGAUUAAACAUUGUCUAUUGUGCAGGAGCGAUUGUCUCAGAGUCCACAUGUCCAAAAUAUCAAUGAUCUCUACUGAAAGUCAGAGAGGUGAUCGAGAACAGUCACAUGGUAAAGAAUAUAGUUCACAUGAAGGAAUGAGAAAACAGUA